rnacentral:rRNA from 1 species
AGAGUUUGAUCAUGGCUCAGGAUGAACGCUAGCGGCGUGCUUAACACAUGCAAGUCGAACGGGAAGCUUUUUCUGCGGAAGCUAAGGUGGAAGUAGAAGGGCGGAGAGUGGCGGACGGGUGAGUAACACGUAGGUAACCUACCCAGUAGAGGGGGAUAACCAUGGGAAACUGUGGCUAAUACCGCAUACAUUCAUGCUGUGGGAAUGGUGUGAGGAAAGAGGAAAGGUGCUAUUGGAGGGGCCUGCGGUCGAUUAGCUAGUUGGUAUGGUAAAGGCAUACCAAGGCAGUAAUCGGUAGCUGUUCUGAGAGGAAGACCAGCCACACGGGAACUGAGACACGGACCCGACUCCUACGGGGGGCAGCAGUGAGGAAUAUUGCGCAAUGGGGGGAACCCUGACGCAGCAACGCCGCGUGAAGGAAGAAGGUUUUCUGGAUCGUAAACUUCUUUUCUGUGUGAAGAGGGAGGACGGUAGCCCAGGAAUAAUACACGGUAAACCUACGUGUCCGUAGCCGCCAUAAUACGUAUGUGUCACGCGUCAUCCCGACUUACUGGCGCGUAAAGGGCGCGUACGCGGGGAUGCAAGUCCAUCGCGAAACCUACUCUGCUUACCUGCGCA